rnacentral:piRNA from 1 species
UUUCCUGGAAAUUGUCUUCAGUGACAAUAGGA